UGCAGUCGACGCUCUAGUUUACUAGAGAGUGGCGGACGGGUGAGGAAUAUAUGGGUGAUCUACCCUCAAGUGAGGAAUACCACCGAGAAAUCGGUGACAAUACCGCAUACCAUUGCAGAGCAGAUCUGCACUGAAAGCCUUCGGGCGCUUGAGGAUGAGCCUGUACCCGAUUAGAUAGUUGGUGAGGUAAAAGCUCACCAAGUCGACGAUCGGUAGCUGGUCUGAGAGGACGAUCAGCCACACUGGGAUUGAGAACGGCCCAGACUCCUACGGGGGGCAGCAGUGAGGAAUAUUCGUCAAUGGGGGAAACCCUGAACGAGCAAUGCCGCGUGCAGGAAGACGGCCUUCGGGUUGUAAACUGCUUUUUUCGAGGAAGAGUACGGACGGUACUCGAAGAAUCAGCCCCGGCUAACUACGUGCCAGCAGCCGCGGUAAUACGUAGGGGGCGAGCGUUAUCCGGAGUUACUGGGCGUAAAGCGUCCGCAGGCGGUUCUUUAAGUUUGAACUGACAGUUCCUGGCUUAACCGGGGAAGUGGUUCGAAAACUGGAGAACUUGAGGGUCCGAGAGGAAGAUGGAAUUCCAGGUGAAGCGGUGAAAUGCGUAGAUAUCUGGAGGAACACCAAAGGCGAAGGCAGUCUUCUGGAGGAAACCUGACGCUCAGGGACGAAAGCUAGGGGAGCGAACGGGAUUAGAUACCCCGGUAGUCCUAGCCGUAAACGAUGACCACUAGAUGUAGGGGGUAUCGACCCCCCCCUGUGUCGAAGCUACGCAUGAAGUGGUCCGCCUGGGGGAGUACGGUCGCAAGAUUAAAACUCAAAGAAAUUGACGGGGACCCGCACAACCAGCGGAGCGUGU
rnacentral:rRNA from 1 species